rnacentral:lncRNA from 1 species
UUCUAAAGUUGGUUUACACCUUCAGAAUAGAUAUAUAUACAGGGCAUCCAGUUGCCUAACAAUUGUGGUCAGCUAAAUGAGAAGGUGCUUGCUAGACAACAGAUAACCAGGUUAGUCAUGUCUAAUAAAAAGAGGAGUUUUACACCCUAUGAAGUGCUUUAUUCUGUUCUCUCUCUACAAGCAAGUGCGGGAUUCAUGAUCUAUUAACAGACGAUGGAAAAUUAUAGGCUGUAACUUUACAUCUCUUCUUUUACAGUGUAUUUCUCCAGUCCUCUCAUGUAUGUUGGACAUUUUAUCAUAAAGUUGGAGUUUGAAUAGGUUGUGGGCUGUCUUUAAUGCUAACUGCUUACUCGCCCAAGAAGUUGGUCAAUAUGGUCAUAAAAUUAUCUCACAAUCAAAAAAUAUAAACAAUCAUGCUCUUCUAUCUGUUGAAAGCAUAUGAACUUAUGACCGCUCUUCCCAAUCACCUUGCAUUUAUGAUUCACUGAACUUCUUUAUCUACUUGUUGUCCUUAAAAAACGUCAUAUUUCUUUGUUUGUUCUCCCAAUUUCCCCUCAAAAACACCUCUCACCUCCUUCUAUCCCUCCCUCCCUCUGAAAUUAUACUAUUUAACAAUGAUUUACGUCAGCAUAUUGACAACUGCUCCGGUACAUUUCUUCUGUUUGACUGCAUGGGUUCCU